rnacentral:rRNA from 1 species
UACGUAGGUGGCAAGCGUUACUCGGAAUCACUAGGCGUAAAGCGCAGGUAGGCGGUUGGGUAAGUCUCUUGUGAAAGCUCCCGGCUUAACUGGGAGAGGCCAAGGGAAACUACCCGGCUAGAGUAUGGUAGGGGGUACGUGGAAUUCCCCGGUGUAGCGGUGAAAUGCGUAGAUAUCGGGGAGGAACACCUAUGGCGAAAGCAGGUACCUGGGCCAUUACUGACGCUGAGCUGCGAAAGCUAGGGGAGCAAACAGG